rnacentral:rRNA from 1 species
CAAUGCCGCGAAGCUAUCAUCCGCUAGAUUAUGGCUGAACGCCUCUAAGUCAGAAUCUGUACUGGAAACGGUGAUGUUGGUCCCGCACAUGUUAGAUGUGUUUAAAUAGAGCUUCGGCUUGUGAACCAUAAAUGUUGGCUUAGUAGUUUGGACGGAAAGGUCCUUGUUACUCGCUGAUGAAUUGAAAUUGAGAUAUGGGCGGGGGUGAAUCCUUUGUAGACGACUUAAUGGGAACGGGGUGCUGUAAGCAGUAGAGUAGCCUUGUUGCUACGAUCUGCUGAGGCUAAGCCCU